AUGUAGUGUAGGUAUAACACUCGAAUAACUCUGAGAGUGAAGCCCCCCUCAAGAUGAUAGUUCCUAUUUCUGCGGGAGGUAAGAGCCCGUAAAGUUGAUCAGGUAGAUAAGUAUUUGAGUGGAAGUGUAGCGAUACAUGGAGCGGACAAAUACUAAUCGAUCGAGGACUUAACCAAAA
rnacentral:rRNA from 1 species